AUCGCUUCUUGGCCUUUUGGCUAAGAUCAAGUGUACUAUCUGUUCUUAUCAGACCUGGGAAAUAUUUUCCUAUGGAAACAAUGUUUGAAUUUCUUUUGCAUUUUGCAAAAGCUUUAUUUACCCAAUUGGAACUUUCUAACAAAGCAAUUUUGACUUCUGGAUUUGCAGAACAGAUAAUCACCUGGGAAAGCAAA